AUUGAACGCUGGCGGCAGGCCUAACACAUGCAAGUCGAGCGGAUGAAGGGAGCUUGCUCCUGGAUUCAGCGGCGGACGGGUGAGUAAUGCCUAGGAAUCUGCCUGGUAGUGGGGGAUAACGUCCGGAAACGGGCGCUAAUACCGCAUACGUCCUGAGGGAGAAAGUGGGGGAUCUUCGGACCUCACGCUAUCAGAUGAGCCUAGGUCGGAUUAGCUAGUUGGUGGGGUAAAGGCCUACCAAGGCGACGAUCCGUAACUGGUCUGAGAGGCUGAUCAGUCACACUGGAACUGGGACACGGUCCAGACUCCUACGGGAGGCAGCAGUGGGGAAUAUUGGACAAUGGGCGAAAGCCUGAUCCAGCCAUGCCGCGUGUGUGAAGAAGGUCUUCGGAUUGUAAAGCACUUUAAGUUGGGAGGAAGGGCAGUAAGUUAAUACCUUGCUGUUUUGACGUUACCAACAGAAUAAGCACCGGCUAACUUCGUG
rnacentral:rRNA from 1 species